CAUCACGCCGCUCCAAAAUAGCGGCCGGGGGAGGGCGCCGGGCCGUGUUUACGAGGGAGCGCGGGGAAAGUUUCCGCUGCCUGACCCCCGCCGCGGGAAGCGGGCGGAGGCGGUGGCGCGGCCUUCCCCGAAGCCGCCCGGCGGCGGCGGCACAGGUGCGCGCGGGGGCGGGGGGUGCCGGUCCCGGUGCCGCCAGAGGCGCGCAGCCAGCCCCCGGCGCCUGUUGGCCGCCCCGGCUCCGCUCGCCGGAGCUUUAUUGCCGGCUGCUGGUCUCCGUGGCGGGCCGAAGGCGCUUCUCUCUUCCUGCCGCCUAGUCUUCGCCCCUUCCCGGGGAGGGUUUCCCCUCCCGUCCACCGAGUGCCCGCGGAAUCCACCCCCCCCACGCGGGGCAUCGGGCCAGCCGGCUACCUGCGCACCCGGCGUGGGAGCUCAGCAGGCGGCUUCGGUGCCCUUCCGGGGGACCUUCCUUCUCAGUUUGGGGUGACUUCGGGCUAACUGCCCCCAGGCCAGGCCACCCUCAGAGGGUGCAGCAGCCUUAGGGUGAAAUUGCUGUUUGGGUACCCUCUGGCUCUUGUGUUUGGGCAGGUACCGUGUUGCUCCAUGGUAUCGCCUCCCGCUGAUUCUCCCUAAAUUCGGCCCUGCUGCUUGCAUUUUUACUGACUGUACCUGCCCGUGGGGAAGGCCCGUUGGGCCUGCGUGUGUAAGGGACGGCUGUCAGCGCGGGGACUGUGAGCGUACCGCCGGCCUGCUGGCUCCCGGGAAUGUAUCGCGCUCUGUUUCUCUAACAGAUGAGGGAGUGUUCAGUAGCGUCAAGACUCUCAAAAAAGAAAGGGUAUUCUGCAGCUGGAGCUAAAUUCUGCGUUGUUCAUCCAGUAACUAUUCAUUAACGGUUACUUUCCUAUGUACAAAUACUCAUGAAGCACCUUCAAUUUUGUAAUUUCUUUCUGCGUCAAUACAAACACUUACGGUGCUUCAGGGUAAGCAUGGAAAAUAAUUACCCAGCAUGGAAAAUAAUUAACCUACCAGUGAGAAGUACACUAAUUUCAGCUGACUGACAGGGUGUCAAGGUACUCUAGAAAAGAGGAGAAUGGAAAACCAAAAAGGACUAAGUUUUGACACUGAAGAAAUGGGGUGAAAAGUCUUUUCUGUUGAAUACUGGGAGAAGAGAUGAAACAUUUCCAGCGUUAAACCUUCAGAAACCUACAGCUGCUUGAUCUCUUCGGGAGGAGAUUGUUAAAUAGCAGUCAAUUACCAUUUUAAUAAAUCUGUGACAAAAGACA